GUAACAGAAAGUGCUUGCACUUUGCUGACGAGUGGCGGACGGGUGAGUAAUGCUUGGGAAUUUGCCUUGAGGUGGGGGACAACAGUUGGAAACGACUGCUAAUACCGCAUAUUGUCUACGGACUAAAGGGGGCUUCGGCUCUCGCCUUUAGAGAAGCCCAAGUGGGAUUAGGUAGUUGGUGAGGUAAAGGCUCACCAAGCCGACGAUCCCUAGCUGGUCUGAGAGGAUGAUCAGCCACACUGGAACUGAGACACGGUCCAGACUCCUACGGGAGGCAGCAGUGGGGAAUAUUGCACAAUGGGCGCAAGCCUGAUGCAGCCAUGCCGCGUGUGUGAAGAAGGCCUUCGGGUUGUAAAGCACUUUCAGUCGUGAGGAAGGGUUAGUAGUUAAUACCUGCUAGCUUUGACGUUAGCGACAGAAGAAGCACCGGCUAACUCCGUGCCAGCAGCCGCGGUAAUACGGAGGGUGCGAGCGUUAAUCGGAAUUACUGGGCGUAAAGCGUACGCAGGCGGUUAGUUAAGUCAGAUGUGAAAGCCCCGGGCUCAACCUGGGAACUGCAUUUGAAACUGGCUAACUAGAGUGCGGCAGAGGGUGGUAGAAUUUCAGGUGUAGCGGUGAAAUGCGUAGAGAUCUGAAGGAAUACCGAUGGCGAAGGCAGCCACCUGGGCCGACACUGACGCUCAUGUACGAAAGCGUGGGUAGCAAACAGGAUUAGAUACCCUGGUAGUCCACGCCGUAAACGAUGUCUAC
rnacentral:rRNA from 1 species